rnacentral:lncRNA from 1 species
AUGGCCAGGUCUUUCCAUCUUCCAGGUACCGUUUGGUGCCAGUGGGGGAAUGUUGUCCCCAGGGGGUUGUUUGUGCUCCUUCCUGCGUCUUCCUGCAGCCCCGUACCUGCCUGGCCGCUGCUCCGAGCCCUCCCCUCCCCAAUAAAUCGCUCUGCUGGAGGAAACCAGAGGCACAAAACCUCAGCCAGAGCCCUUUUUUUCUUUUUUUUUUUUUUUUUUUUUUCCCCCUGCUGUUGCAGGCAGCUCUGCGUUUCAUUACCGCUCCCCGCGGGGCGGCCAGCCAGCCGGGGGGGGCCCCGCAGGGUGCACGCAUCGAGCAGAAAUUACAACCAGAAGGGAUUUGGUCGCCUUCAUCCCCAUAUCCCAGCGCUCGCCGAGCCCUCACCCUGCCUCCAGGACCCGCCUUGGCCUGGAUUUUCUCUUUUUCUCCCCCCGGCCCUCGCUCGGGUGCCCCCCAUGCAGCCAGGAGAGGCCCCAGCAGGCGCGCAGCCCCGAGGCUCUGGCCUCCUUCCCUCCCUCCUUCCCUCCCCGCAGCUCUCCAGAUUCCUGAGCGCUGACACAGCCCCGGCAGGAUGCUGCAGCACCCAGCCCACACCGCCUGCCCCGGCCAGGGUGGCCCAGGAGGGUCACAGCGGGCCGGGAUCGCAGCAGCGCGAUGGGAUGGAUGAAUUGAGAGCAGCCCCAGAGUCCCGCAGCCUUUUGGGAGCGGCGCGAGGUUUGUCUGAUGAGUGCAGCCCCCAGCAAGCAGAGGCUGGCGAGGCGAGCUGCAGUUCAGGCAGAAAAUCCCCAGCUGGGAACAAUUGGGGCAGCCGCAGAGCUGCUCCCACCCUUGCCUGGGGCCAGCGCGGCCGCUGCAGCCCUGGGAACGGCCGCCUGCUCCUGGGCACUUGGUCCCCGAGCUCUGGCCACAGGGAGACUUUGUUCCCGGGCGCUGGGUUUAAGCCCCGAUUCUGGGGUUCUGCUGCUUCCAGCGGGGCACGGCUUCCUUUUAAAACACACGUGUUUUAA